AACGAACGCUGGCGGCAUGCCUAACACAUGCAAGUCGAACGAACCCUUCGGGGUUAGUGGCGCACGGGUGCGUAACGCGUGGGAAUCUGCCCUUUGCUUCGGAAUAACUCAGGGAAACUUGUGCUAAUACCGGAUGAUGUCUUCGGACCAAAGACUUAUCGGCAAGGGAUGAGCCCGCGUAGGAUUAGGUAGUUGGUGGGGUAAAGGCCUACCAAGCCGACGAUCCUUAGCUGGUCUGAGAGGAUGAUCAGCCACACUGGGACUGAGACACGGCCCAGACUCCUACGGGAGGCAGCAGUGGGGAAUAUUGGACAAUGGGCGCAAGCCUGAUCCAGCAAUGCCGCGUGAGUGAUGAAGGCCCUCGGGUCGUAAAGCUCUUUUACCAGGGAUGAUAAUGACAGUACCUGGAGAAUAAGCUCCGGCUAACUCCGUGCCAGCAGCCGCAGUAA
rnacentral:rRNA from 1 species